GAUGAACGCUAGCUACAGGCUUAACACAUGCAAGUCGAGGGGCAGCAUUUUAGUUUGCUUGCAAACUAAAGAUGGCGACCGGCGCACGGGUGAGUAACACGUAUCCAACCUGCCGAUAACUCGGGGAUAGCCUUUCGAAAGAAAGAUUAAUAUCCGAUAGUAUAUUAAAACCGCAUGGUUUUACUAUUAAAGAAUUUCGGUUAUCGAUGGGGAUGCGUUCCAUUAGUUUGUUGGCGGGGUAACGGCCCACCAAGACUACGAUGGAUAGGGGUUCUGAGAGGAAGGUCCCCCACAUUGGAACUGAGACACGGUCCAAACUCCUACGGGAGGCAGCAGUGAGGAAUAUUGGUCAAUGGACGAGAGUCUGAACCAGCCAAGUAGCGUGAAGGAUGACUGCCCUAUGGGUUGUAAACUUCUUUUAUAUGGGAAUAAAGUAUUCCACGUGUGGAAUUUUGUAUGUACCAUAUGAAUAAGGAUCGGCUAACUCCGUGCCAGCAGCCGCGGUAAUACGGAGGAUCCGAGCGUUAUCCGGAUUUAUUGGGUUUAAAGGGAGCGUAGGUGGAUUGUUAAGUCAGUUGUGAAAGUUUGCGGCUCAACCGUAAAAUUGCAGUUGAAACUGGCAGUCUUGAGUACAGUAGAGGUGGGCGGAAUUCGUGGUGUAGCGGUGAAAUGCUUAGAUAUCACGAAGAACUCCGAUUGCGAAGGCAGCUCACUAGACUGCAACUGACACUGAUGCUCGAAAGUGUGGGUAUCAAACAGGAUUAGAUACCCUGGUAGUCCACACAGUAAACGAUGAAUACUCGCUGUUUGCGAUAUACAGUAAGCGGCCAAGCGAAAGCAUUAAGUAUUCCACCUGGGGAGUACGCCGGCAACGGUGAAACUCAAAGGAAUUGACGGGGGCCCGCACAAGCGGAGGAACAUGUGGUUUAAUUCGAUGAUACGCGAGGAACCUUACCCGGGCUUAAAUUGCAUUUGAAUAAUCUGGAAACAGGUUAGCCGCAAGGCAAAUGUGAAGGUGCUGCAUGGUUGUCGUCAGCUCGUGCCGUGAGGUGUCGGCUUAAGUGCCAUAACGAGCGCAACCCUUAUCUUUAGUUACUAACAGGUUAUGCUGAGGACUCUAGAGAGACUGCCGUCGUAAGAUGUGAGGAAGGUGGGGAUGACGUCAAAUCAGCACGGCCCUUACGUCCGGGGCUACACACGUGUUACAAUGGGGGGUACAGAAGGCAGCUACCUGGCGACAGGAUGCUAAUCCCAAAAACCUCUCUCAGUUCGGAUCGAAGUCUGCAACCCGACUUCGUGAAGCUGGAUUCGCUAGUAAUCGCGCAUCAGCCAUGGCGCGGUGAAUACGUUCCCGGGCCUUGUACACACCGCCCGUCAAGCCAUGAAAGCCGGGGGUACCUGAAGUACGUAACCGCAAGGAGCGUCCUAGGGUAAAACUGGUAAUUGGGGC
rnacentral:rRNA from 1 species